rnacentral:rRNA from 1 species
GAUGAACGCUGGCGGCGUGCCUAAUACAUGCAAGUCGAGCGAACGGACGAGAAGCUUGCUUUUCUGAUGUUAGCGGCGGACGGGUGAGUAACACGUGGAUAACCUACCUAUAAGACUGGGAUAACUUCGGGAAACCGGAGCUAAUACCGGAUAAUAUUUUGAACCGCAUGGUUCAAAAGUGAAAGACGGUCUUGCUGUCACUUAUAGCUGGAUCCGCGCUGCAUUAGCUAGUUGGUAAGGUAACGGCUUACCAAGGCAACGAUGCAUAGCCGACCUGAGAGGGUGAUCGGCCACACUGGAACUGAGACACGGUCCAGACUCCUACGGGAGGCAGCAGUAGGGAAUCUUCCGCAAUGGGCGAAAGCCUGACGGAGCAACGCCGCGUGAGUGAUGAAGGUCUUCGGAUCGUAAAACUCUGUUAUUAGGGAAGAACAGAUGUGUAAGUAACUGUGCACAUCGUGACGGUACCUAAUCAGAAAGCCACGGCUAACUACGUG